GUAUGCAGAUACGAGUGUCAGCUAAAUAACACGAUUCAGAAUCUGCUGGUCUCUUGCAGAAUAAGACUUUUUAUAGUGUAGGAAAAUCUGCUUUCAAUUUCUAUUGUAAGGCGUUAUUUUAGUCAAUGAAAACAAAGUAUGCUUGGGAGGCUGCCUAGAAGACAUGUGAUUUCAGGGCAUUGCUAUUUUCUUUUUGAUGAGAAAAGAACUUGCUUUUUUCUUCUAUGUCAUGGUCGGAUAGAGUGAUGUAUUCAGUGUGGAUGGUGGGAAUUCAUUCCCACUCCUUUGAUACUCUCUACAUGGGGACUGAUUGAAUGGGGGAAGCUAUUUCCAUGUACAGCACUGAAGUUUUUUAUUUAAGCUAACUAAAAUUCAUGUAAACCACCUGAAUUCUGUUAGCCGGGUAAAAAUUGCAGUGUGAAUCUUGUUUCUGGUUAUGUGCAGUGUUCAAAUUAAGCUGGUUUUUAUUCAAAAUCAUUUAGGAGAGAACUGGGCAAUUCCUGGUAUAACUGAUGGACAGUGGGAAGCUGGACAUUUGUGUUACUUGCACUGCUGAUUAGCUUGGGGUGCAGCAAGGAAGCAGAAGUAGAAGUGGAUGAAAACAGAAACGUGGGAGUAUCACUGGCUGUGCAGUGAUUCCUAUUUACAGCAUAAAGGACUUCCUCUCUCUCCAUUUUCUACCCCCUUUUCCCUUUUGCCAGUGUUAAACUGCAAGAAUUGCAUGACCUCAUUUUGUUUCCUACGUGAUUUCUUGACCAAAUCUGUUGAGGUUUCCUGUGUUCUCAGUGUGGUGUCUUGUUUAGUGGUAGUAGGCGAACCUCAAAAGGUUCGGAUUGCAGAUGUAGAUCAGAUAAGCAAUGAAAUUAUCUAUUCAAAUUAAGCCUCAAGGGUCUGCAGUCUCAUCCUUCCUGCUCCUGGUUAUGUUGAAAAUGUCUCAAAGCCUUCUGUCCAGAUAUCCCCAGACACUGUGUGAGGUGUAAUGUUUGUGCUAUUUUAGAGUGAUAAACUUGUGGGUGAGAAAUGUCUUUUUUAUUUUUUCUUUCUUUGGAAUUUGACUAUUUUCAAAGUAUCCAUGCCUCUUCUGCUACAAGACCCUUGUUGCAGAACUUCUAAAACACUUUUACAAAUACCAAUGGAAUGGGCUGCACAUUUCUCUGAGCUAUAUCUACAAAGUCGCAAUACAACUCUUUUUCUCUUCACUGUUCAGAGCAAGAAACUGAGGUACAGGUGAGUUACUGACUGAGCCAGGAAAGAAUCCAGAUUCUUCCAGCUUUGUGUCAGCAGCAAGGCUAACUUUCCUCACAACAGCAGUUUCUUCCACUGCCCCAAUGCUUGUGUGUGCCAGCUGUUCCCAUUCCAAGCCAGAUGUGCUGUAGCACAAACCAGAAGUAAAUGUUAUGGGUAGCCUUCUCACAUUCCCCUAGAUUUGACCCUUAGAGAAAUACAUCAGAGGACUGUAGGUCAGCAUCACAUCUGCAAAGAGGGGAAAAAAAAGAAAAAGACUAUUUCAGAGAAUCCCAGCAUCCCCUGCAAUCUGCUGAGUCACACAGCACCACCAGGUGAGCAGGUCCUGAGUCAGAUCUGACAGCCCAUUUGGUUGUCCUUCUAACCAGCAUACUGCAAGUAUGCUUCUAAUUGAUAUCAAUGACAGGUUCUGGAGUGAGGUUGUUUGUUUGUUUGUGUUGCUGCUUGUGUAUGAAAUAACAGCCUCAUUCUUUCCAGGUUUUGCUCUGCUGGUUCCUGGGAGUGUGUUUACAAUAUCCUGCACUACAAUACUGUGGUGCUGCUGUCAGCUGUAGGACAUAGCUGUGUGUGUGGUUGAUUGCUGGAUGUGAAAGAUGGUGGCUGUGGUGCAAGCUCAUUCCCACCUGCCUAGCACAACCAGGAGGGCUGGAUCUCAUCGCAGCAGUGGGUGUGAGUGCUCAAUACCUGAACCUUUAAAACGCCGUGGUUCCAUUUUGAUGCCAGUGUAGAAUGCACCAGGCUUUCAUCAUCCCCCAGCUGAAGCCUGAACAGGAGGAACCUGCAGUGUGUCCCCUGAGUUGUCCGAGGGCUGGCAACAAGGUUGCAGUGAGGGAAAUGUAAGGCACGAAUUUCCUUCAGCUACCUGGUUCUUCACUGCUUUAGUAGAGGAGAGCAGAAGAGCAACAUACCUGAGCAACAUUUUGAGCUGAAGUGCCUGCACAGACUGCAGAAGGCAAGUCACUGCUGUGCAUCUCUGACUGUGCUGUAUCUUUGGAGAUGGAAUGGCUAAAAAAAUAGAAAUGAAAAACAAAGCAAAAGCCCCAAGAGCCAGCCUCCCCCAGCCUGGAUUUUAGUACACUGCACUAUAAAAAUACCUUUUCUGAUUUAGAGGUUUCUGUGUUUAAGACUGUGGUAGCUAAUAAAUCCCUGACAUCUGAACUGUUGGGAAGCAGCAUGCACAAUGAAACAAUAUUGUAGUUGCAGAGUGAUCAUAAUAUAUAUUUCUAAGGUUAGUUGUUCCACGUGUGUAUUUAAAAUUCUUUUGUUCUUUGCGUCUCCUCGCAAAUCUAAACAGUGCUCAGAUGAAAGCUGUGGAGUAGGAAUCUGACUUAAUGGUGCCUACUUGGCUCUGUAGCAGGGCUAUAAGAGGGUAAUAAAAUCCUUGUAGGAUUUGAUGAAAUCAGAUAGAAUGAAUGUAGCAUUAAAGAAAACAAAGGACCCAUAGAUAAGCUGAAUUCUUGUUUCACUUCAAUUAUUUCCCUUUUAAUCCAGUGUAAGAAGGAAAAAAAGAUGACAACUCUGGCUUACUGUUGUUUGAACACUGGGAUAAAGGUAGGGUCAGUGCCCAAGCCAACUGGAAAAUGAGAUUCUUUCUCAUGUUUUCACUCCAAGCUGAAUUGAAGCUUAUUUUCUGUUAGCUAGUGGGAAUCCUUUGUUGGCUUGAAUUAACAGCACUGCAAUCAGAGACCAGAGAAUUGCACAGUGUCCAUCUUACAUGAAAGCUUGCAAGAAUUUGUUGUAGAUCUGGCUGAGAAAUCUGUCUGUGAUGUCCAACAGCCCUCAGCAUCCAGAAGAGUUCUCUUACAUGACAGCACAGCAAGCUUCUUAAAAUGGGGUCUGGGAAUUUCUAAGGAUUUUGGAAUACACCCCACAAUACAAGGGGGCAUGUUAAAGCCUAUUAAGGGUCACUUAGAAUAAAAUGAGAUAAACUACAAUGGUAAUGCAAACAUUUUUGACUAAUUUGUUCUUGUUUCAAUGACCUCUUUGUAGUUAACUGUGUUGUGUUUGCGUGUAACUUGCAGAAAUGCCAGGCUUUGUUUUGGGGUUCACAAUGCACAAUACUUUUUCAAGCUGAUUUUCCUCAUGUUUUAAUCCUGAGCUAUGGAGUUAAUUUUAUUGGUUUGAAUUGUGAUGUCUAGCAUUAAUAACGCCUUUCAAAACAUCAUUACUAAGAUUUGCUAUAGGAACAGCACUGACAUUGAAACUCCUCUCUUACUCUUUCUGGAAACUAUGUAUGCACAAAGUGAAUGAGUCAAAAUUAAGACAUGCCAUCUGAUUAUAACUCAAUGGGUGGGAGGGACAAAGUCCUUGUGCUUUGAACUAGUUAGAUAUAAAUACAGAGCUAGCUGGCAAAGAUCUGCUCAGAGGAAUGGGAGGCCCCAGAUAGUGGGAAGUACUCCCAGUAUCCUAAAUAAUAGACACUUCAAUAUAAUUAUUAAGCCCAGUGUCCUCUGGGGAGAGAUUAAAGGAUAGCAGAGUGGUGCAGACUUCUAAGGGAGGAAAUAUUUCUUUUCAAGGAGAAAAAUGAGAGAAGACUCUAGAGUGAAAAUUAAGGAGGUAGAAAUCCUCAUAGUCAACAGAGGUUUACACUGUUUAAGCAUACUAUUGCAGGGCCAUAAAAGGCAUACAUGCAGUAUAUCUGUAGGCAAAGCAAAGUGAAACAAAGCAGAGGGUGAACAGAAAGUUACAUUUUGAGAUCUCGUUUAAUCAGAUAGGUCAGUUUCUUGUUCUGGAAGCUGAAGCUUGCUAGAAAUGAGCAUGGAGGAUGGCAAAUAAUUUGAGAGUGAGGAGAAGGACCAAGUACCAAGUAGCCAGUAAUGACAAAUAACAAGUUUUUAAAUGUAUUGAAAACUAGAAGCUACUUAUGGAGAGCAGUUAUGGCAAACAAGAAUUUGUUUUAUGAUGCUUUAUAAGAGCUCAGAAAGCUCAGAAUUUACAAUACUGAUGAUGUUAAACAGAAAUGUAUGUGUGUAUAGGUGUAAAACAACCAGGAGAAUCAGUCCCCUGGAAAAGGAAGAAAUCAGUGAGCUCCCCUCUUUCUUCCUAUCUUCUCCUUUAUGGACACACUUGCCUAUUCCCCUUGGAAGCAAUAGUAAGAUAAAGGAAUACUUAGGUCCCAUUAUUUACAAAAUAUAAGUAACUUUCACUUUGUUAAUACCCAAAGAAGGGUAUAUCCCAGGGCAGCUUUGGUUCAAGCACUGUGCAGUAUCUGAAUUCUUCAGUCAUUGCCUCUUCAGAGGUAAACACUUGACCUGUUGUAGCUGUUCUGUACAAAUCUUCUUUACAAAGAAAUUACUGAAUGACACAUCUUGAAAGGGGAGCAUCAGGCUGGGUGUUAGGAAAAGGUUCUGCACCAGAGGGUGGUGAGCAUGGAACAGCCCUGAGUUGCUGGAGCUCAAGAAGCAUUUAGACAACGCUCUCAGACACAGGGGUUGGGUUAGGGUGGUGCUGUCUGGAGCCAGGAGUUGGACUCAGUGAUCCUUGUGUGUCCCUUCUAACUCAGGAUUAUCUAUGAUUCUGUGAUAACCACGUGAUGUUUUAUUUACUUUUAUUUUUGUGAGAUAUAAUCAUGUUACUGCAAAAGGGUAAUUUGCCAUUCCUAGCCAGUUCAGAUCUGGUUUCUAUGCCUAAUCUACCAGCUGAGCAGGGAUAUGCUGAUGCAGGGGCAGCUGCAUAAUCCACAUCUCCAUGUGACCAGAGUCACCAGGUAGCCCUGGAGCUCAGCUGCAUGCCAUGCUCAGACCUGUCUGACCAUGACCCAGGAGGACUGAUGGGGAACCACUGUCCUCUUCAACCUCAAAUACCUUUGUGGACCGCUCCCGUUUCAUCAUUUUUCAUACAUCUUGCAACAUGAAAGUUUUGUUAUGAAGCUUACAGGACUGGGCAUUUUGGUCUGCUCUUUUAUGGUGCUGCUUUUUUUAUUAUUAUACAUACAGAUCUAAUGCUUUCUGGACAUAUACAUCUUCUGUUUUCAGUCUUCAUAACUUCUUGUUGGAGGAGGACUAAUAGUUCUUAGUUCUCUGUAGGCACUGGGGUUGA